rnacentral:sRNA from 1 species
UUGACAGCUCUGAGAUGGAUGGCUAAGCAGAGGAAUCCAAACUAGUAAACAGCAGCAGUGCAAGAUUUCCUCACACUGCCUUACCACUGUGCCUCACUCACAGCCUGGACAGAAGUCCAAGUCAAGUCUCUGCACUGUCAGAUCUAAGCCUCU